rnacentral:lncRNA from 1 species
UGAGUCCUCAUUCUUCGAGGACCAGUGACAUGUUUAUCUUUUCAGUAUUUUUAGUCCUUUAGUUUCAAUUUUGGUAGACUUAGCUUGGGCAUGGCCCAGCCUUUCUAGUCAGUUAGAGGCUAUUUUCAGACAUAGUUAGAUUCAGCUUAGUAUUGAGUUAAUAUUUUCUUUGUAUUAAACUCAUCAGUUUUCAUUCAUCUCAGUUAUAGUAUAU